GACCUCCUAUUGAUUGGGUACUCUCGUUCUCCUUUCCAUUGCACACCGAACGAGAAACUCCCCGUCUAUUUAGAGUCCCCGACAUUACCUGCGACACCUCUUUCAACAGCCCACCCCCCUUCCAUUUCAGGCUUAAUAGCCCUCCAAAUCUUAUCCAUGAAAGAAGAUCAGCUGAAGAGUUAACCAUGUCAAGAAACUUUUCGAGCAGGGAGCAGUUUAGCCUUGCCAAGAUCCGAGAAGGCUUUGGGGGAGACAGACAUGUCUGCUGCUUUCCAACAUGGCCGGUCGUUCAUUGGGCUUCGGUCACUUAAGGUGUUGAUCAUGAAAAGAAGAGAACACCAGGGAGAGUUAAAAAAUAUAGGCUGGAAUUAUUGAUCGUCAUAACGAGCAGUGUUAACUUUCUUUUUAUGCUGAACAACUUUUAAAACUAUUUGCAAUAAAUUCUUAUAUGAAA